CCACCUCCAGCAGUUCAGCUGCAGUCACAGCAGUCCUCUGCUAUGUGGUAUUUCCAUUUACCGGCUGCACCAGUUCCUACUACACUGGCCGUGAAGGGAGACACUUUGAGGAGACCCAGAUGGAUACAGUGUGUCUCUAUCAGAUCUGUCUGACAGCCUCACCCCAGAAGACACUGGGCCUAUCCAGACUGACCAAGCAGAGAUGGGUGCCUGACAGCCUCACGCCAGAAGACACUGGGCCUAUCAAGACUGACCAAGCCAGAGAUGGGUGGCUGACAGCCUCACCCAGAAGACACUGGGCCUAUCCAGACUGACCAAGCAGAGAUGGGUGGCUGACAGCCU